rnacentral:snRNA from 1 species
ACGGUACAACUUUAACAGUUAU